rnacentral:misc_RNA from 1 species
UACGUAGGUGGCAAGCGUUGUCCGGAAUCAUUGGGCGUAAAGCGCACGUAGGCGGUCCGGUAAGUCGGGUGUGAAAGCCCUCGGCUCAACCGAGGAAGUGCACUCGAAACUGCCGGACUGGAGUACGGGAGAGGGUCGCGGAAUUCCCGGUGUAGAGGUGAAAUUCGUAGAUAUCGGGAGGAACACCAGUGGCGAAGGCGGCGGCCUGGACCGAUACUGACGCUGAGGUGCGAAAGCGUGGGGAGCAAACAGG